UACGUAGGGGGCAAGCGUUGUCCGGAAUCAUUGGGCGUAAAGCGCGCGUAGGCGGCCCGGUAAGUCCGCUCUGAAAGUCCAGGGCUUAACCCUGGAAAGCGGGUGGAUACUGCCGGGCUUGAAUCCGGAAGAGGCGAGUGGAAUUCCUGGUGUAGCGGUGGAAUGCGCAGAUAUCGGGAGGAACACCGGUGGCGAAGGCGGCCCCCUGGUUGGAUACUGACGCUGAGACGCGAAAGCGUGGGGAGCAAACAGG
rnacentral:rRNA from 1 species